rnacentral:rRNA from 1 species
UACGUAGGGUGCGAGCGUUAAUCGGAAUUACUGGGCGUAAAGCGUGCGCAGGCGGUUCGCCAAGUCAGGUGUGAAAUCCCCGGGCUUAACCUGGGAAUUGCGCUUGAAACUAGCGGGCUUGAGUGCGGCAGAGGGGGGUGGAAUUCCACGUGUAGCAGUGAAAUGCGUAGAGAUGUGGAGGAACACCGAUGGCGAAGGCAGCCCCCCGGGUCGACACUGACGCUCAUGCACGAAAGCGUGGGGAGCAAACAGG